UACUUUUUAGUAUAACUAAGUACAUUUUCCUUCCAAGAAAAAAGUUUGUAAGCAAAAAAGUAA
rnacentral:tRNA from 2 species